rnacentral:rRNA from 1 species
UGAACGCUGGCGGUAGGCCUAACACAUGCAAGUCGAACGGCAGCACAGUAAGAGCUUGCUCUUACGGGUGGCGAGUGGCGGACGGGUGAGGAAUACAUCGGAAUCUACUUUUUCGUGGGGGAUAACGUAGGGAAACUUACGCUAAUACCGCAUACGACCUACGGGUGAAAGCAGGGGAUCUUCGGACCUUGCGCGAUUGAAUGAGCCGAUGUCGGAUUAGCUAGUUGGCGGGGUAAAGGCCCACCAAGGCGACGAUCCGUAGCUGGUCUGAGAGGAUGAUCAGCCACACUGGAACUGAGACACGGUCCAGACUCCUACGGGAGGCAGCAGUGGGGAAUAUUGGACAAUGGGCGCAAGCCUGAUCCAGCCAUACCGCGUGGGUGAAGAAGGCCUUCGGGUUGUAAAGCCCUUUUGUUGGGAAAGAAAAGAAGCAGGUUAAUACCCCGCUGUUCUGACGGUACCCAAAGAAUAAGCACCGGCUAACUUCGUG